GUGACAGUGUGAUUGAGCUGUAUUUGGGGCUUGGAUAACCUUUUUUCUUUAUUACUUUUCUUGUCUCCCACAGAUUUGGAGAUGACAUCCCUGGAAUGGAGGGAUUAGGCACUGACAUCACUGUGAUCUGUCCAUGGGAGGCCUUUAAUCACCUGGAGCUGCAUGAGCUGGCUCAGUAUGGCAUCAUCUGAGUCCUCCAGCUUCCCACAAUCCCCCUCCACCACACAUUUUCUGGAUGCAGCUAUAAGAGUACAACAUGUACUUUACCAAACAAAACCAAGAACAGCAACCAUUAUAAAAACUAAAAGGAAAGAAAGUCUCCAAAAAACCUUACUGUCCUGCUCUUCAUAAUUUCUCUCUGUUUCCAAAGUUCACAUCCACCUUUGCUAUUAAUAACCCCUCCCCAUAGUCAUUCUGUAGAGACCAGCCUGCCAAUAACUGUUCUCUCAUCUCUGCUGCUCUGCUCUUCUCCUGUCCUCUUCCUUUCUUUCUUUCUUUCUUUCUCUCUCCCUCGUUCUUUCUCGGAAUGAAACGUGAUGCAAUGAGGCAGCCUCUCAGUGAGUUAAUCAGCUCGCAGACCCAUGACUUCUCAAAACCCUUCCCCUGUGGGAGGGGUCGGUUCCCUGCUUCACGAGCACCACCCCUCCAUCCCAAAAUCCGGGUCCUGUAGAGGCAGGGUCGGGGCCAGGACCCCCCCUCAGCCCCACACCUGUCCCCCUGCUCUCCCCCAUCCCAAGCGCGUCGCCACAGGAGUAGGAUUCCAGCAUAAACCCCUUUCUGUCCUACUCUAACCUCUAUACGAAUAUAUUAUCGACCAAAAGAUUAAUCACAAAUUCCGUCUUACUUGUUUAUUCAUUCUUUUUUUCUGAUUUAGUUCCCUCAGGAGUACAAGCUUGUUUUGUGCUGUAUCUGUGAGGUCACUGCUGUCCACUAGCACUCUGGCAUAUUUAUUUAUUUAUGCAUUGAGUGUUGAUUUGUUUUUUCUCUCUUUUUUCUGCCUUUCUGUUUGUAUAUUUAUAUUUAUUGAUUUAUUUGUGUUUUACUUGUAGAAUUAGUGCUGGGGUGUCUGGUGGUAAAAGUGAAAUAGUGGGUAUUCACUGAACACAAACCCACUGGUUCGUUCAGAGCAGGCCACACCCACUGCAGUACAAGGAACCAAUCCUGUCACUGUCACACACACCUGCUACAAUCCCCCCUGCCACCUGCACCAAUCACCACUCGAGACCUGAGCAAAGGGGUGUGGUAUUAAGGGAUAUGGAUUCUCCCAUAGUCAAGAACAUCAAUUUCCCAGAGUGCAGCUGUACUAGGCCACUCCCCUCUCCCAAAGUGAGGCUACACUAGGCCACUCCCCUUUUUUCAUCAAAGAAAGCACUCACUCACUCUGUUAUCAUUAUUUCUCUCUCUCUCUCUCUAUCACACACACACACACACACAGUCUC